rnacentral:rRNA from 1 species
GACGAACGCUGGCGGCGCGCUUAACACAUGCAAGUCGAACGGAAAGGCCUGCUUUCCCUUGUGGAUUGCGGGUACUCGAGUGGCGAACGGGUGAGUAACACGUGAGUGAUCUGCCCCCAACUUGGGUAUAAGCCUGGGAAACUGGGUCUAAUUCCCGAUAGGACUGCAGGGUGGUGCCUGUGGUGGAAAACGAUUUUCUAGUGGUUGGGGAUGAGCUCGCGGCCUAUCAGCUUGUUGGUGGGGUAAUGGCCUACCAAGGCGGCGACGGGUAGCCGGCCUGAGAGGGUGGACGGCCACAUUGGGACUGAGAUACGGCCCAGACUCCUACGGGAGGCAACAGUGGGGAAUAUUGCACAAUGGGCGGAAGCCUGAUGCAGCGACGCCGCGUGGGGGAUGACGGCCUUCGGGUUGUAAACUCCUUUCGACCGCGAGGAAGCCACCUGGUUGGAAGGGUGGUGACGGUAGUGGUAGAAGAAGCACCGGCUAACUACGUG